AUUGAACGCUGGCGGCAUGCCUUACACAUGCAAGUCGAACGGUAACAGGUCUUCGGAUGCUGACGAGUGGCGAACGGGUGAGUAAUACAUCGGAACGUGCCUAGUAGUGGGGGAUAACUACUCGAAAGAGUGGCUAAUACCGCAUGAGAUCUAUGGAUGAAAGCAGGGGAACGCAAGACCUUGUGCUACUAGAGCGGCCGAUGGCAGAUUAGGUAGUUGGUGGGAUAAAAGCUUACCAAGCCGACGAUCUGUAGCUGGUCUGAGAGGACGAUCAGCCACACUGGGACUGAGACACGGCCCAGACUCCUACGGGAGGCAGCAGUGGGGAAUUUUGGGCAAUGGGCGCAAGCCUGAUCCAGCAAUGCCGCGUGCAGGAUGAAGGCCUUCGGGUUGUAAACUGCUUUUGUACGGAACGAAAAGCCCUGGGUUAAUACCCUGGGGUCAUGACGGUACCGUAAGAAUAAGCACCGGCUAACUACGUGCCAGCCGCCGCAGUAAAAC
rnacentral:rRNA from 1 species